GCUGCUUUGAUUGAACUAUUUAAUGUUAGCCAUGAUAUUAGAGAUGUUAUCUCAUACAACAAAAGUUGUAAUUUUCGACUUACAUUGCUUAUGUAGAGGAAUUUGUGUAAAUGUUUUUAAAGGCGAUUACCAAUGUACUUCUUCUGUUGAUUAGUGCAAUUCUUAUAUCUCCAAUAAUCAAAGCAGUCGCACCGAAGACAGUCUCACGUCUAUCAACCAUUCGCUUUGUUUGCCUGUUAAUUAGCACCGUUUACGUUUACGAGAAGCCAGUAUGAGAGAAUCCUGCUAGUGGUGAAUCAUAGAAAACGUAGAGGUAGUCUGCAUAUUCUGCCACCAGACUACGCCACUGGAUGUCGCCUGUCCUCUCGUAUCAUUUUUGGCUCUGCUCCGUCACGCGUGAAAGCGAGAGUUACAUAUUGUGCUGAUUGUGUGGUUAUCAGUUCAACGCGAGUGGUCAUCCGUAAAGGAACAACAUGGAGAACCUGAUGGUCAGCUGCGACUAAAGGUGACGCAGGAAUUAUUUACGUACCGCCUGUGUGUAUUGGUUCGUGCCACCACCGGAACUUCUGAUGCACUCGUGGCUGAAGAAGGGAAAGAUGAGCAUAUGGGUAUUAUUACUUCCAAACAAGACUGAGGCAAGAUUCGGUAUCUAUUCACAAUACAGAGUUGGAAAAGACCAAACGACCGUGUUGCCGAAACCAUAGGUAUGUCAGUGAUGAUGGUACAGAUAAUGGAACAGCGCAGUACGACACCGACAGUAACAAACACAACCAUCCCGCCCAUC